rnacentral:misc_RNA from 1 species
UGAUUGCCAGCUAGAAGUACAUUCCAACAUUAUCUGUGAUCAUCAGAUAGCAAUAGAAUCCUUGGACUUAAAUUAAGUUGCAUGCAAUCGUGGAGUAACUGUAAUGCCCUCCUGCUAGAUACCCUACUCAUCUCCUGACCAUGAGUAGCUGUUUAGACCAAUCCAUGUGAUACUUCCACGAAUUAUUUGAAUUCUAUCUCCUUUG